UACGUAGGGGGCAAGCGUUGUCCGGAAUUAUUGGGCGUAAAGAGCUCGUAGGUGGUCUGUUGCGUCCGCUGUGAAAACUCGGGGCUUAACCCCGAGCCUGCAGUGGAUACGGGCAGACUAGAGGGCAGUAGAGGAAGGUGGAAUUCCCGGUGUAGCGGUGAAAUGCGCAGAUAUCGGGAAGAACACCCGUGGCGAAGGCGGCUCUCUGGGACGGUACUGACGCUGAGACGCGAAAGCGUGGGGAGCAAACAGG
rnacentral:rRNA from 1 species